GAUCUACAUAAUGGGAGAGGCUUCUGAUGAGUCAAAGUUGCAUGAUGUGUAGGUGGAUUCCUAUUCACGUAAAUAAUUUUUAAAGUUCAAAAACUAUCUUGCUUGGAUAGACGGGAGGAUGGUCGGAUCUGUCUUGCUUGAAUCGAUGAUCUAUGAGCGAUGAUGACUUGAGGACGAAUCCUUGAGUUGGAAGGAUGUAAAGAGGCAAUGGAGACAGGGAGAAGUGAAGAACCCUGAUG
rnacentral:lncRNA from 1 species